rnacentral:rRNA from 1 species
UACGAAGGGGGCGAGCGUUGUUCGGAAUUACUGGGCGUAAAGGGCGCGCAGGCGGCCUUAGAAGUCAGAUGUGAAAGCCCCGGGCUCAACCUGGGAAUGGCAUUUGAUACUCUGAGGCUGGAGUACGGGAGAGGAGAGUGGAAUUCCCAGUGUAGAGGUGAAAUUCGUAGAUAUUGGGAAGAACACCCGUGGCGAAGGCGGCUCUCUGGAACGCAACUGACGCUGAGACGCGAAAGCGUGGGGAGCAAACAGG